AUCGAACGCUGGCGGCAGGCCUAACACAUGCAAGUCGAGCGGAGCGGCGGACGGGUGAUUAAUGCCUAGGCAUCUGCCUGGUAGUGGGGGAUAACGUCCGGAAACGGGAGCUAAUACCGCAUAAUAUCAGAUGAGCCUAGGGAGGAGUAGCUAGUUGGUGAGGUAAAGGCGUACCAAGGCGACGCUGCGUAACUGGUCUGAGAGGAUGAUCAGUCACACUGGAACUGAGACACGGUCCAUACUCCUACGGUAGGCAGCAGUGGGGAAUAUUGGACAAUGGGCGAAAGCCUGAUCCAGCCAUGCCGCGUGUGUGAAGAAGGUCUUCGGAUUGUAAAGCACUUUAAGUUGGGAGGCGUUACCAACAGAAUAAGCACCGGCUAACUUCGUGCCAGCAGCCGCGGUAAUAC
rnacentral:rRNA from 1 species